UCCUUUUGUGGAGUUUGAGAGUGUGGGUGAGAACACUGUGUUUCAAAGGAGGGACACCUCAGUGGACCUGCUGAACUCAUUUCUUAGCUGACACAAAAUCUGGGGAGAAAUACCAGAAGGCAGUGUUAGCCAACCUCCAUGUUUAAGAAUGAAGAAGAUGCUUGAAGAACAAAAAAUGUACUUGGUUAUUCCUCCAUUAUAACUGGAGCAAGGGUCUGUUACCAUCUCCAUGACUGAUUUUAGUUGCUGAUCUGGUCUUCAGACUUAGUAGUCUUCUCUCUUUAAGUAAAUUGAACUGAGCUUUUAAUUAUAUAAAGGCACAACAAAGAAAGAGGAAAAAGGAAAAAAGAUUAUUCUCCAGAAACCUCUGAAGAUUUUGUUCUCCAUAUUUAACAUCUAAAAUUUUUUGUUAUUAUAAUUUUUUUUGAUAACAGAGUAGCCGUGUCAUUAAAAUGACAUUGCAUUAGGUAGAUGCAUACAACUACAGACUAGAAAUAUUCUUAAAUUGAAGAAUAUAAUUUGAAAAUUAUAGUCUAAAUUAAACAAAGCAUGAUUAGUCAUUCACUUGCCUGCCGACCUCUUAAUGACUGUGCUGAUAAUUAUCAGUGCAGAGUCACUCCCUUCUUUGUAGCCUCAGAGCUUGACAAGAAAAUGUGGAUGUUUUCAAUUGAUACACA